rnacentral:lncRNA from 1 species
GUCCCCACCCCUAUCUCCGCGACCCCCACUCCUCCUCGGCUGUUCCCCAACCCUGUCACUGUGCUCCCCUCCCUACUCCCGGCCCGUAGUGGAGGUGACUUUCCUGCGCAGCGCCGCUUCUGAGGGCGGAGAACCCACAGGGAGUGCGACCCCUUUGCACGCUGUGAGUGGGCAACUGUCCGAGGGACUCGAGCCGAUCGAAGGGUGAGGACCAGCUCGCCUGGGGGUGGACGGCCUGGAAAAGCCGCCCCUCUUUGGCUUCCCUCUGCCGCCUGCAGCCCGCACCCCUCCGAGAUUCGUGCCCCACUGGACGGUUUGCGAAGGCUGAGGCUGCCUUGGGGACUCACAAAAGACCACAGGGGUGAUUCGAAGUGUAAAUAGGGAAACAAUCAUCAGCACACAAUCCGGCUAAAGGGAUAACAUAUGAGUUUGCUUGUUGUCCUUCAUGGGAUUCUUCUCUUUUUAUAGCUGGACGCCCUAUAGGGCUCUUGGCAGUCCACGAAAGACCUGGAGUCCGCCUCCCCAUUUCUCCGGUCGGUGAGUGGCAGGAGGAAAUCGCCAAACAUGUUUUCCCGCUUUGCCUCCCCAACUCGGAAACUUGCAACUUGCCGUGUCCUGGAGGUUGAGACAAUUUGGGGUCUCUUGGCUGCCGUCCAACAGAUUUAUCUCUGAGGGCAGUGUCCUUGGUGAGAGGUCCAAGUAGGUGUGGGCGACAUUGUCCUCCAUCUCAUGAGGGAGCAGCCCUGCACACUAGGGCCCAAAACUCUGCGAAGGAGCUUGGAAGUUCUUCAUCCGUUCCACUUGUUUUGCUACUCCACACACCCUUCUAGGACAUGUUGAUUGCCAACUGCUCUGUGCAGCUUUCCCAUAGCUGUCUGUUCCCGUGCAUUUCGGAGCACCAAGCAAAUACGAGCAGAGAGACCUGGAAAAAAAAAUGAUGAAGACAGUAUUAAUGAUAAAAUUAACAUGGCUGAGUGAAUUGUCAAUGCAAGUUCCUUUACUAACUCUUUGUUAAGUUUUGCUUUGUACUCCUUACAUCCUCUUUCUCUUAAGCCAUUGUUUUAAUUUCUUCUCGUUAUCAUUUUUAAAAGUAACAGAAAUACAGCUUUCUUCCUACCUUCACGAUUGACUUGGUGGAGGUUGGGUUGCAAAGAGGAAGCAGUAAGAAAAAAUAAUUAUUCUAUACAUUCACAAGUCCUUCAAGGCACAAAAUAAAAGUAAGAAAUAGAAAAUAUGUCCUUUCUCCUAAUAAAGGUCUUUAUAAUAAAAUUUAAAUGAAGUUUUGUGUUUCAUAACAGCUUCCCAAAUACUGUUGUAGAUACUAAAAUGUGCCUGUAUGUAUUUCCUUCCACAAUAAUAAUAGUAAUAAUAAACUUUUUUAGGUCCAAAUUAAACAUUUCUCAGCUUAAAUUUCUAUCCUCAAUCCAACAUUUAUUAUAUCAAAACUUGAUUUUUAAAAAUAAAACUUUCUUGGAAUUCAUCAUUGAUGUCUGUUUGAUGGCCUCGUGAACAUCAGGAAGAUGAAAUGAAAUGGUUCAAGACUGGAACAAUACCAUUAUCUGCAUCUUGACUCCUGGGAGAUAAUGAUAUCUCCUGCUUUCCUCUACAGACCUACCAGUUUUCUCUGCUUUAAGGGAAAAUCCAAAUGCAUGAGACCUGUGCAUUCUUCUACAUAAUCAAGAGUCUGGUUUCUUCCAUCGGAGUGUAUGGAGUUAAAGUGGUAUACUGUACAUGGCAUGGUGUGAUAGGUGGGAAUAUGAGCUACUGGGGGAAAAAGUUCUUACUUCUAGCCACUUAUACAAAGAGAGGCCAUCUCAGUGUAAUCUGAAAAAAUGCUCACUUUAUAAUGCUGUAUCCAAGGCCCAUCAAAAACUAAAUGGAUGUAUUUGUACUAAAAGUUGGGGAAAGUUGAAUAUCUAAACCUCUGAGCAAAUCUUUCUUAAUUUAGAAAAUAAAAUAGAGCAUCAUUGUAAUAC